rnacentral:lncRNA from 1 species
AUUGAGACUUAAAUUAGCUCUUAUACACUUUACAAUCAAUGGCGUAUGUUCUCAGUCAUAUUCAAUCUAUUUUGAUAGGAAUAGAGUUAGGAGGGUGGUUAUAAGGACUGUCAAACCCAGACACCCUGAUAUAUAAAAAGGACUGCUUUUUAUAUAAAUAGCAUACAUAAAAUGGGUGAAACCAAAGAAAACAAAAAUGAGCAACUGAAGACAUCUGAAGGCCUAGCAAAAAUGAAGACCUAACAGUUCUCACGUUCACCAAGUAUUUUAAAAUAUAAAGCUUUCACAGGCAUAAGUACUAAAUUAAAUAACAGGUGACAGUCUCCUCAACUGUCUACACUGUUUUGCUAAGUGACCUAAAUUUUUCUGCUAUUAAUACUGAAAACUGAUUUAGGAAGGCAGACACAAACACGAACACUCACUCACCCUUCCACCCCAAUAAACUCCCAUAUCAAAAAGGUAAAAGACCAAUAGUCCACAAAACAGAGGGAAAUUAUUGCAGGCUGUGAAUCAUAAAUUCCUUAUCUUCUUACUGGACCAUAAAUUCCUUAUGUUCUUACUAAGAUGAUGUUUUGAAACCACGUGAAGUUGGUGACAGGCUUCCCAACAAUCCAUAAGCAUUACGAAUUCACGCUCACUGGCAGGCACAAAGAAGAUCUCUGGAUGCAGAUAAAAGGCAACUUGUAAGUGCCUCCAAGACAGACAUCAUGGGAACCCCUUUGUGGCUCUCAUGAG